GGGGUUGUGGCUCAGAAGUGGAGCACUCGCCUACCACGUGAGAGGCCCUGGGUUUGAUCCUCAGCACCA
rnacentral:tRNA from 1 species